rnacentral:misc_RNA from 1 species
GAAAUGCGAUAAGUAAUGUGAAUUGCAGAAUUCAGUGAAUCAUCGAAUCUUUGGACGCACAUUGCGCCCGCCAGCACUCUGGCGGGCAUGCCUGUUCGAGCGUCAUUUCAACCCUCAGAACCCCUUGCGGGAUCUGGCGUUGGGGAUUGGCAUCCAGCCAGCCCCGAAAUCUAGCGGCGGUCCCUCCGCGACCUCCCCUGUGCAGUAGCGAUACCUCGCAGCGGGACAGCGGUCUGACCACGCCGUAAAACCCCCAACUUCUCAAGGUUGACCUCGAAUCAGGUAGGAAUACCCGCUGAACUUAAGC